ensembl:piRNA 21ur-9550 ncRNA
UUUUCCACGAGCGGUACACAC